rnacentral:rRNA from 1 species
UACGGGGGGGGCAAGCGUUGUCCGGAUUUAUUGGGCGUAAAGAGCGUGUAGGCGGCCAUGUAGGUCCGUUGUGAAAACUCGAGGCUCAACCUCGAGACGCCGAUGGAAACCAUGUGGCUAGAGUCCGGAAGAGGAGAGUGGAAUUCCUGGUGUAGCGGUGAAAUGCGCAGAUAUCAGGAAGAACACCCGUGGCUAAGGCGGCUCUCUAGUACGGUACUGACGCUGAGACGCGAAAGCGUGGGGAGCAAACAGG